UUCUAUUAGAACUUAUUAAUAGUAUAAUCUGCUCAAUGAAAUUUAAAUAGCCGCGAUUACGUGCUAAGGUAGCAUAAUAAUUUGUCUAAAAAUUAAAGACUAGAACAAAAGAUUUAACAUUUUAAUUUUUUUCUUAAAUUUACCUAUUUAAAUUAUUUCAAAUGUAAAAAAACAUUUAUCUUUAAGAAAGACGACAAGACCCUAUCGAACUUAACUUAAGUUAAACUGGGGCAGUUAAUUAAUUAUUAUUUUAAUUUAAAUUAUAAUAUAUAUAUAUAAUCUAAUAUAAUUAAUAAUCAAGUUACCGUAGGGAUAACAGCACAAUUUAAUUUCAUAGAUCUUAUUUAAAUUUAAAUUUGUGACCUCGAUGUUGAUUAAUUUUCUGAUUUUCGCAAUAGUUAAUAAAGAAAGUCUGUUCGACUUAUAAUUAAUUACA
rnacentral:rRNA from 1 species